GCCAUAUUUACCUGACUCUGGAGCACAGGUAGUACUGUUGUAAAUAAUGGCUGAAUCUUUUGCACUGUUCCUGCAUAGAAGGAAAACUACAUGCUGGAUGUCCUGAGGCUGUUUCAUUCUCUCUCUGAGAAAAAAAAGAUUGAAGACUCAUCUCGUCAUGUAAUGGGGAUGAUUAAUGGGACCUGAAAUUAACAGACAAGGAGCAGAAAAUGAGGAAGCUUGCGUUUGGGAAAGAGAAAAACGUGUGCAUGCUUCUGAAAUCAUCGUUCUGUCUGUCGCUGCUGCUUCAGUGUGACAGCACGGAUAACUACGUCAUGCAUCACAAUGCCGGCCAAGUCUUUUUAUAGCAUCUGAUCUGAACUCACGCUGGAACGUUCCUCCGUUAAUCAAGGUUAAUACUUUUAUUAAAAUUGUCGUCAUAAAUCCGGCUCAAUGUGAUCAGAGAAGGACCUUUCAGAGGAAGGGAUUUGCUCGGUGUCAUAAAGGACAAAGCCACAGAAAAAUAAAAUUGCAUGCCUAUAUUUAACCGUUCACACAUCCACUGGAUUUUUCGUAGCAUUAAAAGAAUUAAAGUGUCACCUGGCCUUGAGACGCAGCAUCUGUCUUCAGAGCUAAAAGCUGGAGUCGCCUCGUAACGCACUUUAAGAGCGAGUCAAGAGGGGCUUUUACACACAAGGGUGAAGGAGAGCCAGAGACUGACUGACAGCGAUGUGGGAAUAGUCUCUAAACGGCACACUUUAAUCAUUAGUAUCUUCAGGCUAUCAAGAGAAUAGAUGCUGUAGAACAGUUACUGUCCACUGGGCAUAUUUCACCCUGAAUUAGAAGAUUUAUUUUACAAUUACAAUUUUUGGCGUUGUAAAAAUUAUUAUCAUUUUACAUUUAUGCAUGCAUUAAUGCAUGAUGGCUGCAAUACA